AUUGCGGGGUAGCAAUAUUCCGCAGUCGGAGUGGCGCAAGGGUGCGUAACACGUGGGCAAUUUGCCGUGAAGCCCGGAAUAACUCGCUGAAAGGCGAGCUAAUACCGGAUGUGAUUUCUGGAGGGCAUCCUCUGGAACUUAAAGCUGGGGACCGUAAGGCCUGGCACUUCUCGAUAAGCCCGCGGCCUAUCAGCUAGUUGGUGAGGUAAUGGCUCACCAAGGCUAAGACGGGUAGCUGGUCUGAGAGGACGACCAGCCACACUGGAACUGAGACACGGUCCAGACACCUACGGGUGGCAGCAGUCGAGAAUUUUUCACAAUGGGCGAAAGCCUGAUGGAGCGACGCCGCGUGGGGGAUGAAUGGCUUCGGCCCGUAAACCCCUGUCAUUUGCGAACAAACCUUGCUAUUUAAAAGAUGGCGAGCUGAUUGUAGCGGAAGAGGAAGGGACGGCUAACUCUGUGCCAGCAGCCGCGGUAAUACAGAGGUCCCAAGCGUUGUUCGGAUUCACUGGGCGUAAAGGGUGCGUAGGUGGUCGGGUAAGUCUGACGUGAAAUCUCCGAGCUUAACUCGGAAACUGCAUCAGAUACUAUUCGGCUUGAGGGUUGGAGGGGGGGACUGGAAUUCUCGGUGUAGCAGUGAAAUGCGUAGAUAUCGAGAGGAACACCAGUGGCGAAGGCGAGUCCCUGGACAACUCCUGACACUGAGGCACGAAAGCUAGGGGAGCAAACAGGAUUAGAUACCCUGGUAGUCCUAGCCGUAAACGGUGCACGUUUGCUGUAAGAGGAAUCGACCCCUCUUGUGGCGAAGCUAACGCGUU
rnacentral:rRNA from 1 species